GAUGAACGCUGGCGGCAUGCCUAACACAUGCAAGUCGAUCGGUAAGGCUCUUCUGUGUACCCGUGCUGCGGACGGCUGCGUAACGCGUAGACACACACCCUGCACUGAUGGCUAAGGCACCGAUUGGUGUUCUAAUACCUCAUACGGUCUUCGGGUUACAGCAGUUUUGCGGUGAUGGAGUGGCCUGCGUCAUAUUGGAUGGUGGGUGGGGUAAUCGCUCACCUAGUCGAUGAGGUGUAGCUGGUCGGAGAGGAUGAUAAGCAAGACCGGAAAUGAGACACAGUCUAGAAUCGGACGGGAGGCAGCAGUGAGGAAUAUUUCACAAUGAGCGAAAGUGUGACGGAGCAAUGCCGCGUGUAGGAGGAAGGGCCUCGGGUUGCAAACUGGUCUUAGAAGAGAAGAGUAUGACGGUAAUUGAUGAAGAAGGGACGGCUAACUACGUG
rnacentral:rRNA from 1 species